CCCUCCUACCCACUAAUUUUCUAUCCUAAUCUGCGCCCUCCGCACCUUCCUAUUUAGAUUCAUAUUCUCCAUAAGUUGUAACUGCUCCAUGUCAUGCUUAAUCACCUCCCUCCAAUAUUUCUUCAACCAAUGUGUACCUCUCUUGAGACCAUCCAUAGCGAAUCUCUCACGCCUGCGUAUUAGAGCAUUCAUGCACCUCCUUUGUACUAGUGAGAUAAGG
rnacentral:lncRNA from 1 species